AUUGAACGCUGGCGGCAUGCUUUACACAUGCAAGUCGAACGGUAACAGGCCUUCGGGUGCUGACGAGUGGCGAACGGGUGAGUAAUGCAUCGGAACGUACCCGGACGUGGGGGAUAACGCAGCGAAAGCUGUGCUAAUACCGCAUGCGAUCUGCGGAUGAAAGCGGGGGACCGAGCAGCCAUGUUUGGCCUCGCGCCUUUGGAGCGGCCGAUGUCGGAUUAGCUAGUUGGUGGGGUAAAGGCCUACCAAGGCGACGAUCCGUAGCUGGUCUGAGAGGACGAUCAGCCACACUGGGACUGAGACACGGCCCAGACUCCUACGGGAGGCAGCAGUGGGGAAUUUUGGACAAUGGGCGCAAGCCUGAUCCAGCAAUGCCGCGUGCGGGAAGAAGGCCUUCGGGUUGUAAACCGCUUUUGGCAGGAACGAAACGGUGUCCGCUAAUACCGGGCGGUAAUGACGGUACCGGAAGAAUAAGCACCGGCUAACUACGUG
rnacentral:rRNA from 1 species